rnacentral:rRNA from 1 species
UACAGAGGUCCCAAGCGUUGUUCGGAUUCACUGGGCGUAAAGGGUGCGUAGGCGGUUGGGUAAGUCUGAUGUGAAAUCUCACAGCUUAACUGUGAAACUGCAUUGGAUACUAUCCAACUCGAGGAAUGGAGGGGAGACUGGAAUACUUGGUGUAGCAGUGAAAUGCGCAGAUAUCAGGAGGAACACCAAUGGCGAAGGCAGCUCGCUGGGACGUGACUGACGCUGAGACGCGAAAGCGUGGGGGAGCAAACAGG